GACGAACGCUGGCGGCGCGCCUAACACAUGCAAGUCGAACGGAGCUGAGAGAAGCUUGCUUUUCUUAGCUUAGUGGCGAACGGGUGAGUAACGCGUGAGUAACCUGCCCUGGAGUGGGGGACAACAGUUGGAAACGACUGCUAAUACCGCAUAAGCCCACGAUCCGGCAUCGGAUUGAGGGAAAAGGAUUUAUUCGCUUCAGGAUGGACUCGCGUCCAAUUAGCUAGUUGGUGAGGUAACGGCCCACCAAGGCGACGAUUGGUAGCCGGACUGAGAGGUUGAACGGCCACAUUGGGACUGAGACACGGCCCAGACUCCUACGGGAGGCAGCAGUGGGGGAUAUUGCACAAUGGGGGAAACCCUGAUGCAGCGACGCCGCGUGGAGGAAGAAGGUUUUCGGAUUGGAAACUCCUGUCGUUAGGGACGAUAAUGACGGUACCUAACAAGAAAGCACCGGCUAACUACGGGC
rnacentral:rRNA from 1 species